GCUGGGUGUGGUGGUGCAUGCCUGUAAUCCCAGUGACUCAGGAGGCUGAGGCAGGAGGAUUGUGAGUUCAAAGCCAGCCUCAG
rnacentral:sRNA from 1 species